AUUUCGGCAAUGACAACCGCGCCCUGCCAUUUUUGUUUUGAAACGAAGCGAUUUCAUUCAUUGGCUCUUCGCUUUUGCAGGCAAAACUCGGACGGAUCUAACAUGUGCCAAAGUUUUCAUCCAUUACGAACAUGAAAAGCGCUAGACUGAUCUCAAAGGACCUCUUUUCGCUGUUGAAAAGAAACUACGAAAUGGAAGAAGAAUGGACACGAUUAAUAUUCAAUGAGGAACGAAAAAGCGCAACGUACGGCCCGGAUGACAUACGGAUGUCGUUGCUAAAAUCCCCCCCAUAGGGCAUCGAGUUGGCUCUCACGGUGGACGUAUAAGGCCCACUCUUUAUCACGUUGUUAACGCACCAAAAAGGUUCUCAAGUGGACUGGUACCGCCUUCGUUAUUCAUUCAUCGAGAGCAGUUGUCAGUAGUUGAAUCGUAAUGAAGCAACGUCAAAACGUGCGGGGGAGGGACUAGUACCUUGUCGAAGACGAGAGGUCGCUUGCCGACGAGUCCUCCUCCGCCGCCGAGUUCGAACGUGUCUGUCGCUUCGACAGCGGCCGUGGUGGCG